GGAUAACCUACCCUUAGGACCGGGAUAACCCUGGGAAACUGGGGAUAAUACUGGAUAGGCAAUUUUUCCUGUAAUGGUUUUUUGUUUAAAUGUUUUUUCGCCUAAGGAUGGGUCUGCGGCCGAUUAGGUAGUUGGUUAGGUAAUGGCUUACCAAGCCGUUGAUCGGUACGGGUUGUGAGAGCAAGAGCCCGGAGAUGGAACCUGAGACAAGGUUCCAGGCCCUACGGGGUGCAGCAGGCGCGAAACCUCCGCAAUGUGAGAAAUCGCGACGGGGGGAUCCCAAGUGCCAUUCUUAACGGGAUGGCUUUUCAUUAGUGUAAAGAGCUUUUGGAAUAAGGGCUGGGCAAGACCGGUGCCAGCCGCCGCGGUAACACCGGCAGCUCUAGUGGUAGCAGUUUUUAUUGGGCCUAAAGCGUCCGUAGCCGGUUUAAUAAGUCUCUGGUGAAAUCCUGUAGCUUAACUGUGGGAAUUGCUGGAGAUACUAUUAGACUUGAGACCGGGAGAGGUUAGAGGUACUCCCAGGGUAGAGGUGAAAUUCUGUAAUCCUGGGAGGACCGCCUGUUGCGAAGGCGUCUAACUGGAACGGUUCUGACGGUGAGGGACGAAAGUUAGGGGC
rnacentral:rRNA from 1 species